GUUGAAGAACGUAGCGAAAUGCGAUAAGUAAUGUGAAUUGCAGAAUUCAGUGAAUCAUCGAAUCUUUGAACGCACAUUGCGCCCGCCAGUAUUCUGGCGGGCAUGCCUGUUCGAGCGUCAUUUCAACCAUCAGGCCCCCCGGCUUGUGUUGGGGACCUGCGGCUGCCGCAGGCCCUGAAAAGCAGUGGCGGGCUCGCUGUCACACCGAGCGUAGUAGAUCUCAUCUCGCUCAGGGCGUGCUGCGGGUUCCGGCCGUUAAACCACCUUCAUAACCCAAGGUUGACCUCGGAUCAGGUAGGAAGACCCGCUGAACUUAAGCAUAUCAAUAACGGAGGA
rnacentral:misc_RNA from 1 species